CGUCAGCGGCAGACGGGUGAGUAACGCGUGGGAACGUACCUUUUGGUUCGGAACAACACAGGGAAACUUGUGCUAAUACCGGAUAAGCCCUUACGGGGAAAGAUUUAUCGCCGAAAGAUCGGCCCGCGUCUGAUUAGCUUGUUGGUGAGGUAACGGCUCACCAAGGCGACGAUCAGUAGCUGGUCUGAGAGGAUGAUCAGCCACAUUGGGACUGAGCCACGGCCCAAAUUUCUACGGGAGGCAGCAGUGGGGAAUAUUGGACAAUGGGCGCAAGCCUGAUCCAGCCAUGCCGCGUGAGUGAUGAAGGCCCUAGGGUUGUAAAGCUCUUUUGUGCGGGAAGAUAAUGACGGUACCGCAAGAAUAAGCCCCGGCUAACUUCGUGCCAGCAGCCGCGGUAAUACGAAGGGGGCUAGCGUUGCUCGGAAUCACUGGGCGUAAAGGGUGCGUAGGCGGGUCUUUAAGUCAGAGGUGAAAGCCUGGAGCUCAACUCCAGAACUGCCUUUGAUACUGAGGAUCUUGAGUUCGGGAGAGGUGAGUGGAACUGCGAGUGUAGAGGUGAAAUUCGUAGAUAUUCGCAAGAACACCAGUGGCGAAGGCGGCUCACUGGCCCGAUACUGACGCUGAGGCACGAAAGCGUGGGGAGCAAACAG
rnacentral:rRNA from 1 species